AACGCACAUUGCGCUCUCUGGUAUUCCGGAGAGCAUGCUUGUUUGAGUAUCAGUAAAACACCUCAAGUCCGCUCUUCUUUUUGAAGACGGAUUUGGACUUGAGCGAUCCCAACAGGAGGGGCUUUCCCCUCUGGCGGGUUGCUUGAAAUGCAGGUGCAGCUGGAUUUUCAUCUGGGCUAUAAGCAUAUUUAUUUAGUCCCGUUAAACGGAUUAUUACUUUUUGCUGCAGCCAACGUAAAGGUUGAUUGUCCUCUUGCUGACUGAUGCAGGAAUUUUCGGGGGAUCGGCAACGAUUACCCGUUAAACUCGAUCUCAAAUCAAGUAAGACUACCCGCUGAACUUAA
rnacentral:misc_RNA from 1 species